rnacentral:lncRNA from 1 species
GGUGCCAUGAAGAGGCACAUGGGCUCAGGGCCCUCCACCAGCUGGAUGUGGACCACCUCAGGCAGCGGGAUGAUGGCCGAGAGGACCCAGAUGCCUGCACACAUGGCCCGCCGCACUCGGUGCUGGUAACGCUGCCAGGAGGGGGAGGCGCUGGUGAGGGUGACAUAGCGGUCGACACUGAGGCACACCAGGAAGAAGAUGCUGCUAUACAUGUUGACAAAGUAGAAGUAGUGAGUGAAGCGGCAGGAGAAGCUGCCCCAGAGCCAGGUGUAGUCCAGCGUGACCUCCAGCAUCCACACGGGCAGAGACAGGACAAUGCCCAGGUCCGCGAUGGCCAUGUUGAGGAUGUAGAGGUUCAUCAGCCCUGCCCGGCCUGAGCCGCGCCAGUUGACGCAUAUCACCAGGAGGUUCUCCACCAGCCCAACCACAAACAUGGCCAGGUAGAGGGCAAAGAGGACCACGCGCUUGGUGCUCUGGCUGAGCUCCACGUGGCACUCAGACAAAGUGUGGUUGAAGAGGUCAAGCAGCUCGGUCCAGUUGUGGAUCUCUCCAAGGUCACUGGCCUCAGAAAAGCACCUAGGAGCCUUUGGUCAAAAUGCAAUACAAAUCUAUCAUUGGUGACUGACUGCAUGGAGCAUGUGCUGACCGCCUGCCACCCCUGCACUUGCUACACAGCUGGCUGGGACACCAAGCUUCUCUACCUCCCCAUGACCUACAUGUCUACCUUCCUGGCGGAUGCCAUGCUCCACUAGGUUCUCCAAGGCUGGCCAAGGGCCUGUGAAGCCAAGACUCAGGUGCAUGUUUU